rnacentral:rRNA from 1 species
UAUCUAUGCCAUACCCCCCUGAAUGUGCCCAAUGUCGUCUGAUCUCAGAAGCUAAGCAGGGUCAGGCCUGGUUAGUACUUGGAUGGUAGAAGUGAAAACAUAUGUCUAUAUAA